ACCCUGAUGGAGCCAAGAAAUUCUGUUCCACCUCCGGUCCUCCUCCUCCCACGUGUAGCUCUUUCAACAGGCUCAGCGUAGCCCCCCAAGGCCGACAGUACCCACACAACUUAGCUCCGGAAGCUGGAGCCAGGAAGGGCCGUCCAGGGCCAGGGAAGAUCUUCGGGACAGACGUAUCGUCAAAGGGAGAGGCACCAGUGCAGAGUGACCCUGCCAGCUCCCCUUCCCAGAAUACGCCCCACCCUCUGCACCGAGGAGCCUGGAAGCUGAAGCCCCCUCUCAUCCCCAAAGCAGAGUUCAGGCUGGAAGCCACACCUCCAUACCCAGGCCCUCUCCUGGAGUCACCGCUAGGCCUUCUCUGGAAGAGCUUCAGCUGAUUUCUUCCCCAGGACCUUGAUCAGCCAUACGUGAUCCAGCCACACAGAGGAGACGAGAAAAGUAAAAGAUUCAGAUCGGUUUUCCAGUACUGGCACCUGAAAGCCCCAUAGCCCUGCUGCUGCAACAGGAUCAUCGCACUGUCUGAACCUGGUGGACCCCGAAGAAGAAACGACUUUAUUUUUCCUGGCUCCACGGCCUUUGGCAACACUGGCUUGAGUCUCCUGUUCCUGGCUCUUAAAUAACAGCUGGGGCCAAUCCCAGAGCUUUGGGUCACUCUUGGGUAUAAGGAAGUCCAGUCCGGUCUAGUCCAGGGUAAAACUUGAAUCUCCAAUCCAUUUUAAUGCUCGUAUUCUCCCUGUGCCCAGAACAGACCCUCCUGCAGCUGAAGGGACUUGCAAAGGGGAUAAGAGAUGUUCUUCUCCCCACCCCCACCUUCUAUUUCUGGCCCUUCCAGAGUCUCAGGCCGGGGGGGAGAGGACCUGAAAAGACCAUGGACGCCCUCUGUGGGGCCUGGCUCCAAGUGCUAGCUCUCCUGGCCCCAUGUGGGGUUGUCGGAAUACAUGCAGGAGCCUCCUCUCUGCCACAGAUGGGCAAGCCACAGUCCCCACAGGCUCUAGCCCUUGGGGUUCCCCCCCACCCACAGCCUCCUCUGGCCCCCCCAAGGCCUGCCUUCUGGGGUGGAAUAUUGUAAAAAUCCAAAGGUGGCCCAACCACCUGCCAGGGUCCACUCGGCUCCGAGGACCCUUACACACCCUGACCGUGCCAGGCGGUGGCCCUGCAGACAGCCCCCAGGGACCCCAACACCUCUCUCCAAUGCUCUUCACCCUGGUUCCAGAGGAUGGAGGAGCAAGUUCAUUUCCAGGCAGACAUCCAGCCCGGGAAGAUGAUUUCACCUCCGCGUCUUGUCGUUUCCACGAGGGAUUCCUGGGUGCCCGCUGCCCCCACCUGGCUAAGCCCGGGGAGGAGCGAACCACAGCCUUCUUCCCCCAGGCUGAAACCUCGCAGCUAAAGGGAUCCUCCCUCCUCUUCUCUGAUCUCCUGCUUAUGCAUCCAGGCCGGGAGGACUGAGGACCUCUCUUUGUGCUUGACUGUGAAUCUGCCACGUAGCAAAUGCCAAGGUAGGAGAAAAAGUCAAUCCCUGUUGUGUAUCUUUCAAACCAGGUCUUUCCUGUACUCUCGCGGAGCAAGCGCUUUCUCUUAAUGUCUGGGCCAGAUCUCACGGACUUAGCACUACUUGUUCUCAUCUGGCUGGUUCCAGGCUUCUGAUGGUGUUCUGGUCUAGAAGCCUGGUCCCACGAUGAAAUCCACUCCUGCUCGCUCCCAGCUCCACAUCACCCACAGAUUCGAUAAUUCAGCUUUCUGGGCUGUUAUUCAAGCCUUUGAUGAAAAGAUCAAAGACAACAGGACUGAAUAGAGGACCCUUAAUUCAGGGUGACAUUUAUUCCAGCCUGUCCUUGGUGAACUGCUACUGGCUCCAGCUACUUACCACUUCCUGUUAUCUGAGCUCUAAAACUGUCUGUCUAAUCAGGGCUCACAGGUGCCUGGGCUCCAGUCUACAGCUCCCUCGUCUCCCAGGAUGUCAGUGACCUGGGCUAGGGAUUUGGACUCGCUGAAAAUAGCAAGUGCUUCCUCGCCCAGCUCUGCCAACCCCCUUCCCCCACCACUGCAUCUAGGCAUCUUCAUUCAGCUCAGCUCUGCCCAGCCACACCCCGGCCCCAGCUCCCAAGCAAGCACCGCCUCGCUCAUCCCCUUCCAGGCUCAGCCUCGGCUCCUCUCUCAGGCAACUGGUCUGCCCCUGAGGGGAGGGGCAGGAAGACCGUCACUGAAGCACCCAGAUGACUCAGAUGACCCCAAGAGUUGAGAUCUGCUGACGUCCAGGACCCUUCGGUCGGCUGGGGCUGGGGUGGGUGGAGCAAAGCAUAUUUAUUAAGCAAGAGCCAGGAGCUGGGCUAGGUGUGUUAGCGCAAUUAUCUCUGUCUCCUGGGUGAGGAGCGGUGAGGGAGGUCACAGCACUGGCCUAACGUCCCCGACCAACCAGUUCAGGGGCAGAACCAGGUUCUGAUCUAAGCCUCUGCCCUCUGUUUGCUCUCCUUCCAGGUAGUUAGGGACCCCGUCACUGUCUCCGCAGCCUCCGGAAGACAGAGGAAGCCGGAGCACAGCCCAUCCUGAGCCCCCAGGAGGGAGAAGCAGGUUGAGGGCGAGGGAAGGGGGGGCGGGGAGAAGUGCAUCCCUGACAUCAGGCUGCUGGGAAAUGAGUCCAGUGUUCCUGAGACCUGAAUGAUUUGGGAUUAAGCUUCCAGAUCUGGCACCACAGAUGCGAUAUGAAUCCGUUGCGGCCCCACCCCCAGCCCAUGGCAGGGAACAGAUGGACAGACCCCUCCCUGGGGUCUAAGUAGGGCACUGCUGAGGCUGCUGGGAGGCAGCAGGGGAGCCAAUCAGCCCUGGGGGGCAGAGCAGGGGCAGAUCCAGCUCCACCUCCCCUUCCUGGGCCCCCCACCCUCCAAGACAGUAGAAUCUGAGGGUCAGCUCUCUGCUGCCAACUGUGGGUGGUGCUGCCACACAAGGCAGAGACUCCGGACCCUGGAGCAGCACCGGUCAUUCAGGCACAAGUCAGGCCAUCCUUCCUAAGUCCCAAGUCCAUAGCCUGAGACCACUGGAAGCAACAAGGGACACAAACUUCCUCCUCGGGGCUCCAGAGCAAGGCAUGGGCAGCGUGGUGCUCAGAGCAUCAAGGUCCCGAGCAGGACCAGCCUUGUGUGGCCCUCCCGUCACCAUGAGCACAGCGGGAUGGGGCCAUGGGAGGCCAGACGGAUGCAGAAACAGAAAGAAGGCAACUGUCAGAGCUGGAGGGACCUGGGGACUCCUGAGUCCUCUUCCUGUUCAAGAAGCAAAGGCUGAGGCUCAGCAAGGAGAGGGGACAGGUGCACAGGGAACGGGUGACAGAGCCAGGGGCCCCUUCCACAUCAACGCAAACCACUGAGCUUAACUUGUAACAGCAAAACACAGGAACAGUCCAAAUAUCCACCCGCAGGCAAAGGGAUUAACCGACUGGGUGUUUCCAUGCUCAAGACUAGCGACCACUCAGCAACACGACUGGAUGAACCAAUGAUCCAUGCAAGGCGGCUAAGUCAUAAAGGACCAUGUCAAGUGACCAAAGUCAGACAAAGAGGAAGCAAUGUAGGAUUCUGUUCCUACCAAGCUCUGGAAAGAGUAAAGUAAUCUGGAGGGACAGGCAGUAGAUUGACAGCGACAGCGUCAGAAGGGGCAUUAAGAAGGGGUAUGGGAACGAUUUGGGGUCAUGGGUAUAUUCGCUGUCUUGGCUGUGCUGAUGGUUUUGCGGGCAAGUACACACACUGAGGAAGGGAGGAGGCGGACGCCCGGGAGAGCUGGCCGGGAGGGGAUGGACUUGGAGCAGAGCUGGCCUUGACAGAGCCGGCAUGGAAGGCUGGGAUGAUGCAAACGGCAACAGCCCUGCAGAGGCAGGCGUUUGAAUGAAGGCUCAGACAAAGCAGUGUUCUCAGAAGGAUCCAGAACAAUGGGAAGAGCCCAGGGCUGCCAGGGGGAUGAGGAAAGACGACCCAUGUACAUCUGCUCCAUGCACAUAUGUCUCUGGAGUCUCACAGUACCUACACUUAAGAGUAACCAUCAAAAGAAGGUUAUGGGAGAGAGGAACUAUCAAAAGAAGCAUGGGAGAGAGGAAGGAGGAGGGGAGAGAAGAGGAGCAUGGAAGAGACCCUGGAUGCAUCCACCAAGCUGGGCUCUGUGGAUAUAAGGGAGCCAGAGCAAAGGAAUGGUGCAUGUAACUCAGAGCUUCCAGGAAAUUUUCCUGGCAGCAAAGUGCAGGGACCUCCACUCUGUCCGGAUCAUGCACCUGCUCUCUGGAAGGGCUGGUGCAUCUCCUUACCAGCCUGGAUGGCGGAGUGGCAGGGAGCACACAGCAGGCCCUUCUCCAAGAGUUGGGAGGGCCUGGGAUGCCCCAGCUUCUGCUCCCAGAGCAGAGAACAAGCUACUCCCCUCGCCUCCCAGGGAGGCCAACGAGGGCCUGUGGCACAGCCAGGAAGGGCAAAGAUUUCCAAAGCUCUGUGAUGGAAUCUCUCCCUGGUUCUCCCUGUCCUCACGUUUCACAGGCACCUCCAACCCACAGCUCAUAUCUUCUGGAAGCGGCAGUAGCCCCAGCAGCCCUGCCUCCAGGGCAGGAAGGAGGAAUACAGGCCUGCAGGAGUGUGCUGGGCCCAGGAGGGGCAAGUACAACAUGUCUACUUGGCUCCUCCACCACCUAACUGCUCAGAAGACCCAAGCCCCUCCCCCAGAGCCAGCUCUGGGCAAACGAAUAGGCUCCCUGGAUGAUGGGCCCGCUGUCUGCCUGGACCAGACCGCUGUCAGACUGUCCCCAAUUCAACCAUCAAAAAUGAACAGCCCCUGCCUUCACUCCAUCCCUCUCUGGGGCGUGAAAAUGAAGCUUGUAAUCUACCAUACCCGGCACAGCACUUUACAGUCGACCCCUUCAUCUCCUUCCUGAUCCUGUGAAGCAGCUAAAAUCAUGCCCACCCUCCAGAUAAGGGUUUCACACUUCAGCUGGGCCUGUGGACCUGUCUACGGUCCCACAGCUAACGUUUAGGGGGAGGGAACUUAAAGCUUCCAAGCCAGCUUGCCAAAGGGCCAGAAGCAUGAGGACCAGACAGAUUCUCACUGGGAAGCUUGCGGCCAGCACCGGGCAGAACACAUCACUGCACAAGACCCGGUCAGAGUUAGAAGGAACCCCACAGGCAUCCCAGCCGGCUUCGUCUCACCCUUCAGGCAACUGAAGCCUGAGAAGGACCAAGGAGGCGGUCAUGGGAAAUUGUACUUUAAGCUCCUGGGAACUGAGAGACUAAGAAUCUAGGAGCGGCCCCGACCGGCUGGCCCUGGGGGUCCUUGAUGGUGGCAGAGGGUGCACAGGCAGAGUUACAAGGGGUGCAGGCUCAGCCCAUCCCCCAUUCCCAUAGCACAGGCAGACACGCUGAGCCUGUCCCCCAGAAGCCAAGGCCACGUUAAAAUUCUCCAGGACAGGGAAGAGAGCAGCCACCAGGUGCUGGCACGAUGGGAGGCAGGCGUCACCCUCCCCAUUUUGCAAAGAAGCCAAGGCUCCGAAGGUUGAACAACCUCCGCAACGGCACAAGUAGGAAGGAGCAGAGUCGGGACGAAAAAACGCAGCAUUCGUCCCACCACCCUCACUCCCCUCAGGCUGGGCUACUGGGCUGCCGGGGGACUUGCCCGCAGCUCAUCGGCUCAGCCUCCAGCCCUGAGAUGAGGUCUCUGGGGUCCUUCCGCUGGGCUUCUCCAUCUGGCAUCAUUCAGGGCUGACUCCUGGCCCCUCACCCAAGAUUGCCCUCAUCAGACAGUGCAGAGGCAGUCAGGCCUGCCAGGAGCAAUUCACCAGAUCCACAACUUGAGAAUCUCCAGGGAACCAACCUGGGAAUCUGCAUUUUAACAGGAGCCUUCCGGAAGCACAAUUUUGGAGAAAGAACGUGCGAAAGACUGGCAUCUGCUGCUUUCAGCAAAGAUCCUCCCCAGGUCUCUCCAGGUUGGAGAAAGGAAAACCUAUUUGCAGUCUCUUCUCUCAGGGCUAAAGCGAGCUGGAUGCCCCUCCCCCGCCUCCCACCACCCCCGGGGGGGGCGGGAAUCAAAAAGGAGCGCCUUCUGGGAGGCACAACUUCCGGGGGUGAAAACCCUUCCCCUUGGCGGGGAGGGGAAGAUGCCCCUUCCUCCAGGCACCUCCACGGCUCAGGUGGGGGCGGAGCCAGGAGGCGCCGAGGCCCCGCCCACGAGGUCACCUCCAGCUCCGGAUUACGUGCCCUGCCUGCCCCCUCCCGGCUAAAACCCAUCUUCUGCUGUCAAGAAAAAGGUCGUCUGCCUGGAGUCGCUGAAAAUUACACGUUAACAGCCUUACAGAUUUCCAGCAGUUUCAAAUGCUGGCUUUGGCCAAAAACUUCUUUAAAAGGCCAUCCUCCCUUCUUAUUCCAUAGCGUUUACAUUUUAUAACAUUUAAACAGAACCGCUUUCAAACACAGAUAGGCAGUACUUUCCUGACAUGUCCCCAUAAAAAGUAAAAUCUGGGAAGCGUCUGCGGUGGACGGCUGGGGAAUGCCUUCUGUGCCCAGCAGUGAUUAGCUCCAUCUGCAAAAUAGUUCCCAACGCUGCUGCCUCAAACUAGGAGCUCCUUCCUCCGAGAAGCCCUCCUGCCUCCCGUCUGGGCUCCGUGCCAUGGAUAUCUGUCCACAGAAGACGUCCUUUGUUGAAGUUGCGGUUAUGGCUCAGUGGAAACGCAUCUGACUAGGAACCAUGAGGUUGUGGGUUUGAUCCUUGGCCUCGCUCAGUGGGUCAAGGAUCCGGUGUUGCCAGGAGCUGUGGUGUAGGUCGCAGAUGCGGCUCAGAUCCAGUGUGGCUGUGGUGGCUGUGGGUCGGCCAGCAGCUAUAGCUCCAGUUAGACUCCUAGCCUGGGAGCCUCCAUAUACCCUGGGCAUAUAUCCAGACAAAACUAAAAAGACCAAAAAAAAAAAAAA
rnacentral:lncRNA from 9 species